rnacentral:rRNA from 1 species
AUUGAACGCUGGCGGAAGGCCUAACACAUGCAAGUCGAACGAGUGGCGGACGGGUGAGUAAUGUCUGGGAAACUGCCCGAUGGAGGGGGAUAACUAGGGGAAAAGGGAGCGAAUACUGAAGACCAGGGGAUGUGGCCAGAUGGGAUUAGCCAGUAUGUUGGGUAACGGCUCACCUAGGCGACGAUCCCUAGCUGGUCAGAGAGGAUGACCAGCCACACUGGAACUGAGACACGGUCCAGACUCCUACGGGAGGCAGCAGUGGGGAAUAUUGCACAAUGGGCGCAAGCCUGAUGCAGCCAUGCCGCGUGUAUGAAGAAGGCCUUCGGGUUGUAAAGUACUUUCAGCGAGGAGGCUUUACUCUCAGAAGAAGCACCUGCUAACUCCGUGCCAGCAGCCGCGGUAAUAC